AAAGGAAUAGACGGGGGCCCGCACAAGCGGUGGAGCAUGUGGUUUAAUUCGACGCAACGCGAAGAACCUUACCAGGUCUUGACAUCCUCUGGCGACUCAAGAGAUUGGGUUUUCAUCCUUCGGGAAGACAGAGAGACAGGUGGUGCAUGGUUGUCGUCAGCUCGUGUCGUGAGAUGUUGGGUUAAGUCCCGCAACGAGCGCAACCCUUGUUCUUAGUUGCCAGCGAGUAAAGUCGGGCACUCUAAGGAGACUGCCGGUGACAAACCGGAGGAAGGUGGGGAUGACGUCAAAUCAUCAUGCCCCUUAUGACCUGGGCUACACACGUGCUACAAUGGCCUGUACAGAGGGUAGCGAAGCCGUGAGGCGGAGCCAAUCCCAAAAAGCAGGUCUCAGUUCGGAUUGCAGGCUGCAACUCGCCUGCAUGAAGUCGGAAUCGCUAGUAAUCGCGGGUCAGCAUACCGCGGUGAAUACGUUCCCGGGCCUUGUACACACCGCCCGU
rnacentral:rRNA from 1 species